UACGUAGGUGACCAGCGUUGUCCGGAUUUACUGGGCGUAAAGAGCGCGCAGGCGGUCGUUCAAGUCGAGUGUGAAAGCCCCCGGCUCAACUGGGGAGGGUCACUCGAUACUGAUCGACUUGAAGGCAGGAGAGGGAAGCGGAAUUCCAGGUGUAGCGGUGAAAUGCGUAGAUAUCUGGAGGAACACCGGUGGCGAAGGCGGCAUCCUGGACCGGCAUGACGCUGAGGCGCGAAAGCCAGGGGAGCAAACGGG
rnacentral:rRNA from 1 species